AACGAACGCUGGCGGCGUGCUUAACACAUGCAAGUCGAGCGAUGAAGCUCCUUCGGGAGUGGAUUAGCGGCGGACGGGUGAGUAACACGUGGGUAACCUGCCUCAUAGAGGGGAAUAGCCUUCCGAAAGGAAGAUUAAUACCGCAUAAGAUUGUAGUACCGCAUGGUAUAGCAAUUAAAGGAGUAAUCCGCUAUGAGAUGGACCCGCGUCGCAUUAGCUAGUUGGUGAGGUAACGGCUCACCAAGGCGACGAUGCGUAGCCGACCUGAGAGGGUGAUCGGCCACAUUGGGACUGAGACACGGCCCAGACUCCUACGGGAGGCAGCAGUGGGGAAUAUUGCACAAUGGGGGAAACCCUGAUGCAGCAACGCCGCGUGAGUGAUGACGGUCUUCGGAUUGUAAAACUCUGUCUUCAGGGACGAUAAUGACGGUACCUGAGGAGGAAGCCACGGCUAACUACGUGCCAGCCGCCGCGGUAACAC
rnacentral:rRNA from 1 species